rnacentral:rRNA from 1 species
AUUGAACGCUGGCGGCAGGCCUAACACAUGCAAGUCGAGCGAGCGGCGGACGGGUGAGUACUGUGUGGGAAACUGCCUGAUGGGGGGGGAUAACUACUGGAAACGGUAGCUAAUACCGCAUCCCAUCAGAUGUGCCCAGAUGGGAUUAGCUAGGGGGUGGGGUAACGGCCCACCCAGGGGACGAUCCCUAGCUGGUCUGAGAGGAUGACCAGCCACACUGGAACUGAGACACGGUCCAGACUCCUACGGGAGGCAGCAGUGGGGAAUAUUGCACAAUGGGCGCAAGCCUGAUGCAGCCAUGCCGCGUGUGUGAAGAAGGCCUUCGGGUUGUAAAGCACUUUCAGCGGGGAGGCGUUACCCGCAGAAGAAGCACCGGCUAACUCCGUGCCAGCAGCCGCGGUAAUAC